rnacentral:rRNA from 1 species
AACGAACGCUGGCGGCAUGCCUAACACAUGCAAGUCGAACGAUACCUCCGGGCUUACUGGCGCACGUGUUCGUAAAGCGGGGAAUCCUGCCCUUAGAUCCGGCAUAACUCCCCGAAAUAGGUCCUAAUAACGGAUAAUGUCUCCGGACCAGAGCUUGAUCGGCUUUGGAUGGGCCCGCGUUGGAUUACCUAGUUGGUAGGGUAAAAGCCCACCAAGCUUACGAUUCAUAGCUGGUCUGAGCAGAUGAUCAGCCACGAUGGGACUGAGACACGGCCCCGACUGGUACGGGAGGGAGGAGUGGGGAAUAUUGGGGAAGGGGCGAUGGCGUGAUGCAGCAAUGCCGCGUGAGUGGGGAAGGCGUUAGGGUUGUACAGCUCUUUUACACGGGAUGAUAGUGACGGUACCGGGAGAAUAAGCACCGGCUAACUCCGUG